rnacentral:rRNA from 1 species
UACGGAGGGUGCAAGCGUUGCUCGGAAUUAUUGGGCGUAAAGGGUAGGUAGGUGGUCUUAUUUGUCUGAGGUGAAAGCCUUGAGCUUAACUCAAGAAGUGCCUCAGAAACGGUGAGACUCGAGUUCUGGAGGGGGUCGUGGAAUUCCCGGUGUAGCGGUGAAAUGCGUAGAGAUCGGGAGGAACACCAGAGGCGAAGGCGGCGACCUGGACAGACACUGACACUCAACUACGAAAGCGUGGGGAGCAAACAGG